UCGUCAGGUGGGAUAAUCCUUACGUGUUCCACCUUUUGGAGGGCAGAUUAGAAAAUGAUGACUGGAGUUUGCAUGAUGUGUGAUUAGCAUCUCUGUGUAAUCAGGACUUGCAAGGCUGUGGGGUACAAUUCGGGG
rnacentral:snoRNA from 1 species